AUUGAACGCUGGCGGAAUGCUUUACACAUGCAAGUCGAACGGUAGAGGGGGCAACCCCUCGAGAGUGGCGAACGGGUGAGUAAUAUAUCGGAACGUGCCCAGUCGUGGGGGAUAACGUAGCGAAAGUUACGCUAAUACCGCAUACGAUCUAAGGAUGAAAGCGGGGGACCGUAAGGCCUCGCGCGAUUGGAGCGGCCGAUAUCAGAUUAGGUAGUUGGUGAGGUAGAGGCUCACCAAGCCAACGAUCUGUAGCUGGUCUGAGAGGACGAACAGACACACUGGAACUGAGACACGGUCCAGACUCGUACGGGAGUCAGCAGUGGGGAAUUUUGGACAAUGGACGCAAGUCUGAUCCAGCCAUUCCGCGUGCAGGAUGAAGGCCCUCGGGUUGUAAACUGCUUUUGUACGGAACGAAAAGGUCUCUCCUAAUACGGGGGGCUCAUGACGGUACCGUAAGAAUAAGCACCGGCUAACUACGUGCCAGCCGCCGCGGUAA
rnacentral:rRNA from 1 species